rnacentral:rRNA from 1 species
UACGAAGGGGGCUAGCGUUGCUCGGAAUGACUGGGCGUAAAGGGCGCGUAGGCGGAUUGUACAGUCAGGCGUGAAAUUCCCGGGCUCAACCUGGGGGCUGCGCUUGAGACGUGCGAUCUUGAGUGGGGAAGAGGGUCGUGGAAUUCCCAGUGUAGAGGUGAAAUUCGUAGAUAUUGGGAAGAACACCGGUGGCGAAGGCGGCGACCUGGUCCUUUUACUGACGCUGAGGCGCGAAAGCGUGGGGAGCAAACAGG